AACGAACGCUGGCGGCAGGCCUAACACAUGCAAGUCGAACGGGACCUUCGGGUCUAGUGGCGGACGGGGGAGUAACGCGUGGGAACGUGCCCUUUGGUUCGGAAUAGCCCCGGGAAACUGGGAGUAAUACCGGAUAAGCCCUACGGGGGAAAGAUUUAUCGCCAAAGGAUCGGCCCGCGUUGGAUUAGGUAGUUGGUGAGGUAAUGGCUAACCAAGCCGACGAUCCAUAGCUGGUUUGAGAGGAUGAUCAGCCACACUGGGACUGAGACACGGCCCAGACUCCUACGGGAGGCAGCAGUGGGGAAUCUUAGACAAUGGGGGAAACCCUGAUCUAGCCAUGCCGCGUGAUCGAUGAAGGCCUUAGGGUUGUAAAGAUCUUUCAGUGGGGAAGAUAAUGACUGUACCCACAGAAGAAGCCCCGGCUAACUCCGUGCCAGCCGCCGCCGUAAGAC
rnacentral:rRNA from 1 species